rnacentral:rRNA from 1 species
UACGUAGGGUGCGAGCGUUAAUCGGAAUUACUGGGCGUAAAGCGUGCGCAGGCGGUUAUGUAAGACAGGUGGGAAAUCCCAGGGCUUAACCUUGGAACUGCAUUUGUGACUGCAUAGCUAGAGUACGGUAGAGGGGGAUGGAAUUCCGCGUGUAGCAGUGAAAUGCGUAGAUAUGCGGAGGAACACCGAUGGCGAAGGCAAUCCCCUGGACCUGUACUGACGCUCAUGUACGAAAGCGUGGGGAGCAAACAGG